UACGUAGGGUGCGAGCGUUGUCCGGAUUUAUUGGGUUUAAAGGGUGCGUAGGCGGCUUUGUAAGUCAGUGGUGAAAUAUGGCAGCUUAACUGUCAAGGUGCCAUUGAUACUGCAGAGCUUGAGUACAGAUGAGGUAGGCGGAAUUGACGGUGUAGCGGUGAAAUGCUUAGAUAUCGAUCAAGAACACCUAUAGCGAAGGCAGCUUACUAGGCUGUAACUGACGCUGAGGCACGAAAGUGUGGGGAUCAAACAGG
rnacentral:rRNA from 1 species